UACGGAGGGGGCUAGCGUUGUUCGGAAUUACUGGGCGUAAAGCGCACGUAGGCGGCUUUGUAAGUUAGAGGUGAAAGCCCGGAGCUCAACUCCGGAACUGCCUUUAAGACUGCAUCGCUUGAAUCAUGGAGAGGUCAGUGGAAUUCCGAGUGUAGAGGUGAAAAUUCGUAGAUAUUCGGAAGAACACCAGUGGCGAAGGCGACUGACUGGACAUGUAUUGACGCUGAGGUGCGAAAGCGUGGGGAGCAAACAGG
rnacentral:rRNA from 1 species